GCAAAGUGCUCCAGAAGGCUGUGUAUGCUCUGAAUCAGUGGCCGAUAUAUGGUACUGUUUCUCCCAUAGCCAAGAUUCAGGAGUCCAGGAAUCAAGGGGUGGAAAUGGAAGUGGCACGACUCACCAACACCCCUAGAGAUCCACUGGCAAAAUUUUUGCUUCCUGUUCCCAUGACAUUAUAUUUUGCUGGCCUAAAGGUCUUAGUUCCAGAGGGAGAAACACUGCCGCCAGGAGACACAACAACGAUUCCAUUCAAUUAGAAGUUAAGAUUGCCACUUGGACACUUUGGGCUUCUCCUACCUUGAAGUCAACAGGCUAAGAAGAGAGUUACUUGGCUGGGGCGAUUGACCCAGAUUAUCAAGAUGAAAUCAGUCUACUACUCCACAACUGAGACAAGUAAAUAGGAAACUCACAAUUUUUCCAGCAAAACUUGUAUGUGAAAAUAUAAGCAAAAUGAUAAAUGUGACUGGCCGACAAGCAAAAAACAUUGUUUACCAUCAAACAGCACCAAAACUUCUGGCUGUGUUAUUACCAAUUUGAAUGGACCUUUGCCGAAAGUCCCUGAAGCCAAGCCACACUGCUAACUGAUGAGAGACCAGCUUGAAAGAGGGAGGACCUGCCAAUUGCCAUCAGCACAACUCCAGAUAUAUGGGAGUCAGGCUUUAGGGCAAAAACCGGGGAUCACAGAAUGCUUGCUCAAUCAACUUUGCUCAUCCAAAAUCACAAAAAUCGCCUCAAAAAAUGUUGAUGAUAAUUUAAUUUUCUUCACUCUCCAUGAAGAUGUUAGAUAAUGCUCACUCUGGGUGAGAAUAAAAGCCAGACUCAUCAAUUGUGUUACC
rnacentral:lncRNA from 1 species